UCUUAACCAUGAAUUUAACAUAUAUCUUGAACUAAAUCUCCGGAUUAAAUGAUGAAAAUGGUACAAGUUGAAGGAGUCAUUUUCAGUCAUGGUAUAAAAUGAACUAAAUAUACUUAAAAAGAGCUCCAAGAGUGUGAAACAUGAUGAGAGCUUUGACAAAUGAAAAUGAAGAAAUUCAUAGCAUGAAAGAUGUUAAAUGAGGGUUAUGUAAAGUGUUGGAGAGAAAGAAAACAUGAAAAAAAAAAAAAAGGUUACAAGUCAUAGCUUGAAGUUUGAACAUGUGAAUUAGAACUCAAAAUUUAACAACAAUGUACUCCGACUUUGAGGUGAAAUAUGGAGCACUUCUUGAUAUCAUUUUUGGGUGUGCUAUAUAUUGUUUUGAAGCUUGAGAAGGCAAGAGUCCAAUGCUUCAAAUUGUGUGCAAAUUGAAGUUGAAACAAGGAGUAUAUGUGCAUUUGAAGCAAGCUACUCAGAGAAUAAUAAUGAGUUCAAAAUGGUUUUUGGUCAUUUAAAACUUAAAGGAAUACAAAAAUACUUCUGUCAUAAACUGAGUUUGAAUCCCUCCUACCUAUUUCAAACAAAAGACACGUUUCAAAUCUGAGAACAUGACGAAAUGACAUGGUUGGUUGUUGAGUUCAAAAUUCACAGUGAAUUUUGAAUUCACCUUCUUGAUUUCAAAUUGAGCACUUUUCCCCAACAUGGCCUUAGGGUUUUCUUGGACUUUCCUUACUGUGGGCUUUAGGUGACACUCAACAGCCGGGGGUGGAUAUUCAUUGUCCGAACGAAGCUACUGUUGGGGCCACCGGAUCUACACACUCAUUGUUUUCCCAACGGUUAAGCUCAUACCUUUUUUCCCCAAAGCUUAGAUGUUAAUUUCUUCAUAAUAACAUCACCUACCAGCAGCAGCAGCAGGAGCCGACAAACUUUGAUGGAGUAAGAAGAAGGGCACUUUACUGAUACAGGAGUCCAAUCAUGGGAACUAUUUGCAAUUCAACUCCCAAUGGACUUUAUCAGCCAUAGUCAGUGAUCAUGCAUAUUGUACUCCUGCAAAAGCCACUACAAAAUUUACCUAACAAGAAUUUUGUCACUUUAGUAAGUUACAGCUAGCUGCACUUGAAGUAGGUCAGGACUCAAAGCAACAAGGACAUGAUGCAGCUAGAUUCAACGAACCAUUUUCUUAUGAUCCUGAGCGGAUAACUAUAACCAGUCUUGUGAUCUUGUGGUGGGUAAAGCUAAAGAAUUGCAAACCACAUAUUGAAAUUUCCAUUUGUCUUCUCACUAAAAAAAGAAAAAAAAAGAGGGGAAAAAAAAAAAACAGUCCUGUUAUGCACCCUUUCCUAAUGACAACCGGCAGCUUUAGCCGCCAUAAGCAUAAGAUUUUUUUAUUUUUUUCUUAAAUUUUUAUUCUUGAAUCUGCAGUAUUCAUCUUAGUGCUGAUCAUGAUGUAUUAUAAUAAUUGGUUCAGCGGGGCCAGAGUUAAUCUGGAAUCCAAGUUUUUGACACUCAAUGAAUAGAUCCCUUCGGAAAAUUGAAAGAGAGAAGCCCACUAGGUUUUCCUCUAAGUAGCUUAAAGGAAGGACCAAUAACUUCAGCUACUUGCUGGGAUCAGGUGGGUUUGUGGCAGUUUAUAAAGGGAGAUUUGCUGAUGGCACACCGGUGGCAGUAAAGGUUCCUAGAGCUAGGGAGCUACGCUAAGAGAAUCGAGGAACAUUUCAUGGCAGAAGUGAGUACCAUUGGAAGUGUCCAUCAUCUCAACCUGGUUCAGAUCCAUGGCUUCUGCUUCCACAGAUUUGAGAGCUCUGGUGUGAGUAUAUGGAUCAUGGCACGCUUGACAACCAUCUGUUUCAAGUAAACCAGUUGGAAUUCGGGAAGUUUCACGAGAUUUCUGUUGGCACAACCAAAGCCAUUGCGUAUUUGCACAAAGAAAUGCCAACAGAGAACCACUAUGAUAUAAAGCCCGGAAACGUUCUCUUGGACUCCAACUUCACCCCUAAAGUAGCUGACUUGGGCUUGGCCAAGCUUUGCAACAGAGACAUCACCCAUAUGACCUUGACAGGAGGAAGAGGAACACCUGGGUAUGCCGCCGCAUCCGAACUGUAGCUGCCCUUCCCUAUAACCCUUAAUGUGAAUGUUACAGAGGGUCAAGGGUGAUUCCUAAUAUUGGUUUGGAAUAAAUUAGCGAGUGAUGAUAUGGAUGAACUUAUGGUUGUCUGUGGUAUUGAGGAGAACAGAUCCAAGGUAGAGAACAUGGCAAAGGUAGCUCUAUGGUGUGUUCAGUACAAGCCAAAAGCAAGGCCUUCAGUGACCGUGGAGCUGAAAGGGUUGGAGGAAGCCAUAAGUAUUCCUACACCUUUAUCACUACUUCAUAGGGGGUUCCACUGCUGAUAUCCCCACCACCUAUACCACAGGGACAACCUCCAGCUUUGAUUCGGGUUCCCCUCAAAACAAGUGAGGUGGGUAGCGUUUGGAGGCAAAAGUAAUUAAAAGGGAAACAGAAAGGAGAGGAGGAGCAGAACCUAACCUAACUCAACCAGAACGCCAUAAAGAAACUGACACAAAGUGUAGUGGUGGAGCUCCUAUAACUGAAAGAAUAAACUGGGCCAUUAAAAAGACAAAUCGGGCUUUCAAAAUGGGCGAAGUUGAUCACAAGUCACAUAUGAAACACCAAACUUUGCAGCCUUGUUGGUUGAUACAGAAGCGGACAAACCAUUUUCUGGAACGGCAAAGUAGCAGCUAGCGGUGUUUGUUGUGGUGUGGCAAACACAAUUGCUUCCACAGGCGGUCUGCUACUUUCUCACAAGCAAAUAGGGGUUCACAGCAGCAACAUAUUGGGAUUGGGCCUUCGCAGCUGUGCUGAAGAACCCAUUAGGAAGGAUGCCCACGACUGGGACCACCACAUCAAUGAUGCCUACAACUGCAUGCACAUUGUGGUGCAGUAGAUUCCUACAUGUGUGGCCUUACCCUACUACCCCAACUUCACACGCCCUAUGAUCUGCCCUAAUGCCAUAACAAACCCUACAAGUCUUUUCAAAAACUUUGGCUCUGCCAUGACCUUGAAGGAAAUCUAGUUGGGAUGCUGAAUUAUUGCAUUUUGGUCUCUCUCUCUCUCUCUCUCUCCCUUCUCCUCCCUCCCACACCCCACCCCCCACCACCCACCACACACCGCUCUCUCUCUCUCUCUCUCUCUCUCUCUCUCUCAAUUGUGAGUUCCUCUUCAUGCAUACUCUUCCCGCUACUAAAAUUUCCAUAGCCUAUCUAUCUGGGCUUUAUGUUUGUUAAUGAAAAUCCACAAAGAGAAGAGCAAGGGAGAGAAUUUGAGCUGGGACUCAGCUGUCCGCGGCAAAGACAAUUGGAACAUGAUACUGGCGAAGUUGUAAGGUCGUGUAGCCCCCUUAUCAAUAAGCGACAAGUCAUAGAGGAGGUAGCCACAAACUUGAGCUCUAUUCUACAAGAAGGUGGAGGCUCUCCUAAGUGGUCCUUUCUAUGCAUAUCACUUAACUAACAACAUGAUCAAUGAUGGUGAAUGGUUCAGGCAAAUUAUAUUGGAGGUCUGAUUUUCAUCUCAUACCCAGGUAACAUCACUUUUUUUUCCCCAAGUACUACAAAACAAUUGCCUCUUAGGUCCACAUAUACUGCAUCAAUUAGUUAUUUCAUUUCAUAAUCACAACAAGACAAAUAAGAUGAUGAAUUAAGCACACAGCACUAUCAUAACAAUGAGCAUACUGCACAUUUAAACUCUAACCUUUCCGGAGUGGGAUUUACUACGUUUCCCUUUCUUUUUCCCUUGCUUAUUGAUUCUCAAGUGCUUAAACUUCUGCGCUCACCCUUUUUGGUUGGGAUAUUUGGUGUAUCUUACUAUCAAAACCAUUUUACCUGUUUCGAAGGGCAAAAUACACAAUUUCUACAAUUUUUUUACCACUAUAUUAUUUUUUAAAAAUGAAAAUCUUUUCCUAUGAACUUCUCUAUAUCCUUCUAUAAUGUAAGAUGAAAAAACCUGUGAUCUAGUGACACACUGACAGAAAUAUAAGAUCCCAAUCCUGUCAUAAACAACAUGGCAUUUGCAUAAAUAUCAUAUAUGCAAUGUAUACUUCAAAUCCAUGACCACUUUUCCAUGUGGAACAAGGGCAUAUUGCUUAUUCUAUCACUCAUGCUUCUAUAUUGUCAUUUCAUUAAACAAACACCUGUUUCCAAAUCUUUGCUCCAGAAAAUAUGUUAUACCUUUUGAUUUAAUUUUGCCUUGUUUAUGUACAAUAGGAAUUAUAGUCAGGAAAAAUAAUAAUAAGACAUAAAAAUUGGUGGUACAUUAACUUUCCAAACCCUAAUUACCUAUCAAAAAAAAAAUUAACUUUCCAAACCCUAAUGUAACACUUUAUCCAAUUAACAGGCUUAAUGAAAUUUGUUUCCGAUUCUUCACCCAAAAUAAGUGUGUAUGCUAUAUAUUUUCUCCAUUGGCUUGGGACUCAAAUAGCCUUACUCCUUUCCUGAAUAACUUACUUAAUUUUUUAGGCAAUGGUUGAUUUAGAUUAGCUUCUGGAGUCUGGACCAGAUUGAAUUUGACAUUUAUAUUAACAUAACAUUAAAGUGACUUAAAAUCCAAAAAACAGAAGUUUGGCCAGAUGAGGAUAAUUAGGGUUUAAUAACAUGUUAAAUCACACUCUUGUAGUCCAAACAUGUUUGGCCUUUGGUUAUAUUUUGAAGAAUUGCCUUAAUAUAGUGAAUAUUUCAUUAUAAUGUUAAUGCUUGUUGUAUGACUGCUAUUUGUUUCUGAUAAUUAAAUGAUUCUGGAAUGAUUAAAUGAUUUCAUUUCUGUAAUGAUUGUAUGUGUGUGUGUAAGAUCAGGUAAAAGAUUAAACUAUUCUUUUUUAAUUUCAUUUUUAUGUUCAUACAACUUAAUUCCAUCUCCUAUGUAUCCCUCUACUGUAUACAGUUCAUUUGCUUUUCAUUAUUAGUUUAUUUCUCAUUUCCCAUUUCCCAUAUCCACUCAGGCCUUGGGCAUCUUUGCUAAUGAUAGAUCCUUUGCCUAAAAAUACUCUGAACUAGAAUGAAGCUGCCUGCAGAAGAUGACUACUCCAUUCCAGUGUAGUUUUAGCAUGCAAUGGCAUAAUUUGUUAGUCAGGUCAGUGCUCUAAGCAUUUAUCCUAAGUGGGUUGACAAUUAUGUUUAAACUUUUACUAGC